UACGUAGGGGGCAAGCGUUGUCCGGAAUCAUUGGGCGUAAAGGGCGCGUAGGUGGCCUGUGCAAGCGUGCGGUGAAAGCUCGGGGCUCAACCCCGAGUCGGCCGUGCGAACUGCUGGGCUCGAGCACUGUAGAGGCAGUCGGAAUUCCGGGUGUAGCGGUGGAAUGCGUAGAGAUCCGGAAGAACACCGGUGGCGAAGGCGGCCUGCUGGGCAGUGGCUGACACUGAGGCGCGACAGCGUGGGGAGCAAACAGG
rnacentral:rRNA from 1 species